UUUCACUCCCACAUGAGAUUAAGACCUCGACUUCUUGAUGUUUCAGCCAUAAUGUGAUGCCUAUCUAUCUCCUUGAUGUUUCAGCCUCGAUAUGAUGCUUCUCUUCGGAAGUAAAAUUCUCUGCAAAGAGAACUAAACCAAUCCCGGUGAGCUCAUGCUAAAACCAGAUGUUCCAACUGCCAAGGUGGCAGUGAGCAUGUACACAAGGAAGGCUUGCAGACAGCUACAAUCGAAGCCAUUCUUUUUCUCUCUUUUUAUUUUGGAGCAUGUCAUUAGUAGAGAUGUAGUUACGAACUGAGAGGAAAGUCUCUUGUCUCGCAUACAAUAGCUUACUUCUGACCUGUUUUACACCUUAUGGAUUCUUUUGGUUGAAUAGUGAAUAGGGCAAGUGAUGUACAACAUAUGGCAGAGAUGUUCGAAGAGCAACUCGAAUAGUGCACAGUGCAUACUUAUGAGGUUACCGUUCGAUUGCCAUUGCUUAUUACUUUAGAUAUUAUCUUGAUAUCCAUGAUCAGGCUGAUAGAGAGCCGAUCAUAAACUAUAAUUACUUGUUAAGAUUAUAUAGUUACAGAACCUAUAAUAUACCUUGGGCUUAGUUGCUGAAAAGCUUAUUUUAUUUCUAAUUUCACAAAGCAAACGUGCCAUCAUCAGCACAGGUUACAAAGAGUGCACCUCAAUGUAUUACAAUACAGCUAAACAGAUGCAGAUAACAGAAAACAGAUAGAGUAGUUAGGUUAGACCAGACCAACGGAUGAAAAUGACCCAAGAAAAGCCAAGCUGAAGCAUAAAGCACCAAGCCUUAAUUAGCAUCAGACAUUAGUUGCGUGAAUUUGUCAUGUUGUUCUUGGCCAUGCUGAAGACUUUGCACUCUCCUUCAAGUAGUGCAGGGCCCUCUCCAUGUCAUCUGUUGGAAUGCUGAGUCUUCCAUCACCACGAACCGGAAGUGUAGAAGUCCAUGUUGAAUGGCUUGACUUACCGUGGUAGCCACCGUGUGAUGUCAGAUUGAUUGGCCCCAUGACACUAUCAUGUUUGCGGUUGUGGUGGUAGUCGUCAUAGUUAUCAUUCCGAAUGGUGUUUCCAUUAGGCUUGUACAAUGUGUUGUUGCUGUAGUCACUAUAGCCACCAUAGCCCGUAGUUCCAUUGUAUCCAAUUUGAUUGGGUUGUUGGCCCCAGGUAAUGCCAUUGAAGGGUCCAACCCUAGGAUCACGGCUAGCAUCAGUGUGGAUUCUGGUGUGGAAGCCAUCAAUGGCGUGUCGUGGUGGGCUUGGAGGCCUACGCCAAUUGUCAUCAGCAGCAUAGCCG
rnacentral:lncRNA from 1 species